UACGUAGGCAGCAAGCGUUGUUCGGAAUUACUGGGCGUAAAGAGUGUGUAGGCGGUGCUCUAAGUUCGGUGUGAAAUCUCCCGGCUCAACUGGGAGGGUGCGCUGAAAACUGGAGUGCUGGAGCGCGGGAGGGGAAAGCGGAAUUCCUGGUGUAGCGGUGAAAUGCGUAGAUAUCAGGAGGAACACCGGCGGUGUAGACGGCUUUCUGGACCGUAGCUGACGCUGAGACACGAAAGCGUGGGUAGCAAACAGG
rnacentral:rRNA from 1 species